UACGUAGGGACCGAGCGUUGUCCGGAAUCAUUGGGCGUAAAGAGCGUGUAGGCGGCCACUUAAGUCCUGCGUGAAAUCUUGCGGCUCAACCGCAAGCGGUCGUGGGAAACUGGGUGGCUAGAGUGCGGGAGAGGAGAGUGGAAUUCCUGGUGUAGCGGUGGAAUGCGCAGAUAUCAGGAAGAACACCCGUGGCGAAAGCGGCGCACUGGACCACAACUGACGCUGAGGCGCGAAAGCUAGGGGAGCAAACAGG
rnacentral:rRNA from 1 species